AAAUUAACCCUUUGCUGACCACUUACUGCUGCAGGAAAGGAUUUGAGGAACCAUGAUGCCUAACUGCCUUGGCUGGUUAUUUUAGACAUAAUGGUUUGCUAUUGUGUUUGCCCAGAGAUUCCGUCCUGAGAAGAUUGAGGAGCAAAGGCUUUCAUUCAGAUGUCACCUUUGUGAUAACCACAGAGGCUAAGGAAAAAGUACUUACCCUCUGUCAGGCAUUGCUCUCAGAUGACAACGCUGUGCUAUACUAUUUUACUAGUGAGGGAUAGAGGCACUGGGAAGCUGAGUAAAGUGACGGAGUUAGGAAGUGGUAGAUCUGAGAUGUGGAUAUAGGCUAUCUAAUUCCAGAUCCUGCCAAAGUUAUCCAUAACCUCUGUGCAGCACUGCAUCCUCACAGUUCGUGGAGGUGGGAGCCACCAGUUUGAGAGGUUCAUGUUUCUAUUGACUCCUGGAGACUUUUUCUUGCAGCUGGAAGCUGAGGCUGUGUUCCGUGCCAUCACCAUUGCCAGCCAAACCAAUUGCCCUCUCUACGUCACAAAGGUCAUGAGCAAGAGUGCAGCUGACCUCAUCUCACAAGCCAGGAAAAAAGGAAAUGUAGUCUUUGGUGAGCCCAUCACUGCCAGCCUCGGCAUAGAUGGAACCCAUUAUUGGAGCAAGAACUGGGCCAAGGCGGCUGCAUUUGUGACAUCCCCACCCCUGAGCCCUGACCCAACUACUCCGGACUACAUCAACUCCUUGCUGGCCAG
rnacentral:sRNA from 1 species